rnacentral:lncRNA from 1 species
UCAUACUAACACUUUUAAACAAACACUGUGAAACAAACACUUUAAGGUAAUAAAAGAAAAUAAAUGAACAAGCAGAGAUUAGAGGAUUGGAGACCCCUUCAUGCACAAUAUCAAAAUCCAAAGAAAAAGGGAAAGAAGGGUGCAUAUAACUACCAAAAUUAAGAAAAUUUUCAAUUCUUAGAUAAAUAAUUUGGGCACAAUAGAAACUUAAAUCAUCCUAAGUUCUCGGCCGAGACCCCAAUUUUGGCGGACACAAGGGCGGCGUUGGAGGCCGUCAACUACUCUAUUACAUGUGGCCAUCAGGCUCUGACCAUGGCAG